rnacentral:rRNA from 1 species
UCCGUAGGAUCCGAUCGUUGUCCGGAAUUACUGGGUGUAAAGGGCGUGUAGGUGGGUCUCUAAGUCGAUGGUGAAAUCCUGCAGCUUAACUGUAGAAUUGCCUUCGAUACUGGAGAUCUUGAGUGCGGCAGAGGGAGAUGGAAUUCAUGGUGUAGCGGUGAAAUGUGUAGAUAUCAUGAAGAACACCGGUAGCGAAGGCGGUCUCCUGGUCCGUAACUGACACUGAGGCGCGAAAGCGUGGGGAGAAAACAGG